GCAUUGGUGGUUCAGUGGUAGAAUUCUCGUUUUCCAAGCAGAGGAUCAGGGUUCGAUUCCCGGCCAAUGCA
rnacentral:tRNA from 1 species